rnacentral:lncRNA from 1 species
CCCCCUGCAGGCGGGAGUGUGUCAAUGCAGCCGCCUCGACGCAGGCGGGGUUUCAAUGCGGUUUGCAAACCGAUUCUUUGCUUGUUAUGUGCAGUUGGUUCCAAGCCUAGAGCCUCCAGAAUUCAGUGGAGCUUAUUUCUGGCAGACUGUGAGAGGGUUGCAGGCUUCUAAAUGUGCAGUAGUCCCAAGUCUAAAUCCUGACCCUGUAGAAUUUAUUGGGCUGUUUUUAUUCUGAUUAUAUGUGUGUGUGUGUAUAUAUAUAUAUAUGUUUUUAUGUUGAUCUAGUAUGUGAACCAUCCAGGUAUAGGUAUAGGUAAAGGUCCAGUUAAGUUCAGUUGCAGACGACUCUGGGGUUGUGGCGCUCCUCUUGCUUUACAGGCUAAGGGAGCCGGCGUUUGCCUGCAGACAGUUUUUCCGGGUCAUGUAGCCAGCAUGACUUCUGGCACAAUGGAACACUGAAACCAGAGCAGUGCAUGGAAAUGCCGUUUACCUUCCCGCUGGAGUGGUACCUAUUUAUCAACUUGCACUUUCUGGCGUGCUUUUGAACUGUUAGGUUGGCAGGAGUAGGGACCGAGCAACGGGAGCUCACCCUGUCGCGGGCAUUUGAACCGCUGACCUUCUGAUCAGCGAUCCCAAGAGGCUCAGUGUCUGGGUAUAGGGUGGUACAGUCAUACCUUGUUUUGCAACUGGGAUGCGUUCCAGAGCCCCGGCCGCUAGCCGAAAAGGAUGCAGGAAAAAGCACCGCGUCUGUGCACACGCGGAGCGCUUUGCGCUUCUGCACAUGCGCAAGUGGCAAACCCAGAAGUAACACGUUCUGGUACUUUCGGGUUUGCCGCGGACGUUCGCUGGAACGGAUGCUUGACGAGGUGGACAUUCGUGGAGGUAUUACUGUAUAUAAAUUCACUAUUUAUAUAAAUAUAUAAAUUGCACUAUUGUAUGCCCAGAUAAUAUUCCAAUUGUCUGAUUCCACCCUUUAUCCAAACAUCAUAGGGCUGUUUACAGUUAGUGUUGCAGGCACUGCAUUCGGAACUAACUUCAGUUUUCUGGAGACUCUCCAAAGACAGACCCAUAUGUACAAUUUAUUACUGUCAUCUAUCCUAGAUGUCAGUUUAAUGGAAAGGCAAUGUUGUUCAACACGAUAACAAUGCGCCCCGCCCCGAUGCAUAGAAAACCAAAGUCUAUCUGUAACGGGCCGCCAUGCCAGUCUCUGUGUCUGAAAAAUGCUCUUUAACAAAUUUCAUCGCCCUUUUAGUCAAUGGGGGCCAUGCAACUUGGGGGUGGGGUGAGGACAGAGGUCAUGCUCCAUUUUCUACUUUUGUCAUGCAAUAACUACCUGUGGGAUAUUGCGAUCCGUCAUAAACCAAGCCCGGACAAACAUGCGGAAUUCUCAGAGGCGUGUUUCUAAAGUUAACAAGCAGAUUUAUUAUAAACAUCUGUUAAACCCAAUAUGCUUUUAGAGAGAGUCCCAAAGACCCUGUAACUCUGCAAUAAGAUGUCUUUACAGGAUCUGUCAUGGAGUUUGGCAUUUAUUGCAGAACUGAACGCCAUUCGUAAUAAUCCCCCAACAGAGCAUCGAGUGUCAACAUCUAAGGACACCUUUCAAAGGGUCACUUUGGCAUCCCGAUGAAGCAGAUUUCAAAGUCACCCUCUACCUGGCUCUGAAUUCUUUCCAAGAAGUGGUGAACUGAAAUCUCAAAAGAGUUUUUACAGGACCAGUUUCUGUGCACAAAAAAGUCAGAUGUUUUUACAAUGAUUGCAACCAAUUUCCUACAGACAUCUUUGGUCCAUCCUGAGGCAAGCUCCCUCUAUCCUGACUGCCCACUCUGCUGUUAUACCAUUGGCCAGGGGACCAAGAUCACUGUUGGACUAUGACUACAGCCCCAGGAAGUAUGGCUGAUAGCCAGGGAUGAUGGGAGUUGUAGUCCAACAACAAGAGUAGGGUACCAUGCUAUUAUUAUUAAAUGUUUUCAUAUAUGCUGGAAGCCGCCCAAUAAGAUGGAUGGGGUACAAAUAAAUUAUUAUUAUUAUUAUUAUUAUUAUUAUUAUUAUUAGCUACCACUACUGGCAUCAGUUGCAUGCCUUCCAUAGGCACCCAUUCCCUAGAAACACACCCUGCUUUUAUUAAUUGCUUUCGUGCAUUUUAGUCGCUAUGGCUUUAAAACAAUCUGCUGCUCUGUUGCUUCUACUGCUUUCCAUUAUGAAAUAUAUUUAUUUUUUCGUUAAGCCCUCCGGAGACUUUUGCAAAAGUUGGGCAGUAAAUCCCUAACAGCGCCCUCCUACGCACGUUUAUUCGGAAGUUAAGUCCCUGCUGUGUUCAGUGGGCUCACUCCCAGAUAAGUGUGAGUGGGAUUGCCGCCUCAAAUGAAUAAAUAAUAGAAUUGCAGAGUUGGGAGGGACACCGAGGGUCAUCCAGUCCAACCCCCUGCAAUGCAGGAAUACAAUCAACUCCAAAUGAAGCAUGUGGCUAGUGAGCUAUGUUCUCUUUGGGGGUGAGGGUGUCACAAGUUGUGCAGGCCUGAUCUAAACCUAGGCCCCUUCAUGCUUUUUUCUUUUUGCUCUGAGGAGAAUCCCUGUCCGUCCGUGUCCAACACCCUUUCUCAAUCUGACUACUGCAAUGCGCUCUACGUGGGGCUACCUUUGAAGGUGACCCAGAAACUACAACUAAUCCAGAAUGUGGCAGCUAGACUGGUGACUGGGGGCGGCCGCCGAGACCACAUAACACCGGUCUUGAAAGACCUACAUUGGCUCCCAGUACGUUUCUGAGCACAAUUCAAAGUGUUGGUGCUGACCUUGAAAGCCCUAAACGGCCUCAGCCCAGUAUACCUGAAGGAGCAUCUCCACCCCCAACGUUCAGCCCGGACACUGAGGUCCAGCUCCGAGGGCCUUCUGGCGGUUCCCUCACUGCGAGAAGUGAAGUUACAGGGAACCAGGCAGAGGGCCUUUUCGGUAGCGACAUCUGCCUUGGGGAACGCCCUCCCA